UCCAGACUCCUACGGGAGGCAGCAGUGGGGAAUAUUGGGCAAUGGGCGCAAGCCUGACCCAGCAACGCCGCGUGAAGGAAGAAGGCUUUCGGGUUGUAAACUUCUUUUAAGAGGGAAGAGCAGAAGACGGUACCUCUUGAAUAAGCCACGGCUAACUACGUGCCAGCAGCCGCGGUAAUACGUAGGUGGCAAGCGUUGUCCGGAUUUACUGGGUGUAAAGGGCGUGUAGCCGGGCUGACAAGUCAGAUGUGAAAUUCCGGGGCUCAACCCCGGACCUGCAUUUGGAACUGUCAUGCUAGAGUGUCGGAGAGGCAGGCGGAAUUCCUAGUGUAGCGGUGAAAUGCGUAGAUAUUAGGAGGAACACCAGUGGCGAAGGCGGCCUGCUGGACGAUGACUGACGUUGAGGCUCGAAAGCGUGGGGAGCAAACAGGAUUAGAUACCCCUGUA
rnacentral:rRNA from 1 species